UGCAGAUGGCAUCCACCAAACGGUGGAUGUAAUGCAGCCAAGACAGAGCGUCCAAAGCCGCA
rnacentral:ribozyme from 1 species